rnacentral:lncRNA from 1 species
AGCCGGGGGAACAAGAAAACUGGGGGAACGGGCACGCGUCUUCGCCCCCAACUCUCCUUGUCAACUAGGACGACAGGUGAGAUCGCGCCAAAAGCGAGGGUCUGUGCCAGGAGAGAAGGGACGCUGCGAGAAGGGAGCUGGGUGUGUACUGCAGAAGCCAGGAGAGACAGCGAGCCCCUCGAGGCGUUGAAGACCGAGCGUCAGCCUUCUUGGCCUCCCAUCGGCCGGUGCCACCCAAAUUUCGCGCGCCUCCCGGCCCGUCCCGAAUGCAAGCAGCGCAGGCGAGGAAGCAUUGCUCGCGAUGCAGCUGCAUUCGCACCAGAGGAAAGCCUCCAGCCGCGCGACUCCAGGACCUUGAGAACAUUGACUGCUGCGUCCUGGGACUAUCCAACUGUCCGAAUCCCCAGACCGUGUUCUCCGUCUAAGGACUCAGACGGGAGAUCUCUCGGAGUCGAGUCUCCUCCAGAGGACAGCUUUGCUCAGCCUCCUAAAAGAUCCCUUUGCUCCUCCCUUCACCACAUGUGACCAAGUCUCCCAGUUUCCCAGCCUGGAGAGCUUACCGGAAAAGAACCCACGUGACAUGGGAUCUGCUUGCUCUUUGGAAAAGCAGGUAUUGAGGAAUCUCUUCUUCUUUCCUCUUCCCCCUCUUCCUUGAAUGGCCUUUGUGACUUCAGGGCCCCAGUGCAGCUGAGGUUGACAUGGCAGGGUAAUCCUAUAGAGAAGGGAAUGUGAAAGGGACCUCCUCCUUGAGGAAUAAAAGAAGCACCUUGAAGUCAGUAACACGGGGAAUGUGACUCCUGCCAGGUCUGCUGGGCAGGCCCUUUCUGCUCCUGGCUGCAGCCUGUCCGUCCAGUCUUCUGCAGUCAUCUGGGUAAGCUUUUUUUUUUUUUUUUUUUUUUUUUUUUUUUUUUUUUUNNNNNNNNNNNNNNNNNNNNNNNNNNUUUUUUUUUUUUUUUUUUUUUUUUUUUUUUGUCUUUUUGCCUUUUCUUGGGCCGCUCCUUGCAGCAUAUGGAGGUUCCCAGGCUAGGGACUGAAUCAGAGCUGUAGCCGCUGGCCUACACCACAGCCACAGCAACGUGGGAUCUGAGCUGCAUCUGCGACCUACAGCACAGCUCACAGCAACGCCGGGUCCUUAACCCACUGAGCAAGGCCAGGGAUCGAACCUACAACCUCAUGGUUCCUAGUCGGAACCCACUGAGCCACAACGGGAACUCCUGGGUAAGCUUCUUGAUGCAAGCAGACGUGGGCGAGACCCCUGCUGGGAGGUCAUGAUAGAGGAACUGUAGAAACUGAUCUUCCAAUGUCUGAG